GCUCCUGUAGCACAAUGAAUAGUGCGUUGGACUAAUAAUCCAAAGGUCGUGGGCUUGGAUCCUACCUGAGAUA